ACUAUAUAUCUCUCCAAACCUCACCCCACCCCCCAAAUCCAUCCCUUCUCUAACCCCUCGCGACCGGAACCCUAGCACCACUCCACCUCCGCCGCUCCUCCAUUCAACGCCGCCGCCGGCUGCGAGACACCAAUGACCCUCAAAUUUACGCCAAAUCUUCCCCGUCACCUCCCCUUUCCAAAUCCAUGCUUGGUCUCUCUCAAAUCCCCACCAGUCUUCUUGAAUAUUCAAUUGAAUAGCUGGCUGCUCCGCCGUGCACGGCGACGACGACUCAAACUACCCCAAUGGCAACCAAAAUCACAACCUGAAUUCCUCUGCAUCUCCCCAUUCCCAGUCCAUAACAUGUUUCCUUCGAAUAAACUUAGAGCUCUUCGAAUCUGUGUUCAAAGUCAUGAACCCUAACACCGCCCAAAAUUCCGGCGGUGGUGGAACCAUCGUCAACCAGUGCCAAAAGCAUACCCCUGAACCUCUUCUUUUUCAUUUUUCCAAAUCUCAACAGAGUUCCUAGCAAAUCCCCCUCGAUCUAUCAAAAUCCCAAAUCUCAUUUCGGAACCCUAGGAUAUAAAAUCACCACAUCUUUGAUUUCGUUGGUAUGCAUGGCCUUGGAGCUUUGUUUAUCUCGAGUUUGGAGUUCUAAUUCAUCCCGGAUUAAUGUUGUCAUUUGUACUUGACAAAGAAAAAAUGAAUAACAUUAAUCACGUUAAAUCUGUAUGGGUUCGUAGUUUAAGUUGGUAAGUCUUCUCAAUUUUCCCUUUUCUUUUCAAUUUCGUGCUGUUUCGCUUGCAUAUUUCUCUUUACUAUUUCAUUUGUUUUUCUAAUGCUUGUUCUCUGAGUGAAGAGAAAUGUAAGUCUCCAAUCUAAUUUUCCCUCAUGAUAAAGGCAGUGAUCAUAGUUGUGUCGUGGGUUCUCAAUUUUUCCCCUUCAUUGUUUAUAUUUAUUUUGAACAAUACUAUCUGUUUCUUUCUUUUGAUUAUACCACUGUGCUUUUGAUAAUUAGCUUCAAUUAGAUUUGCAUUAAUUUGUUAAUUUAGUUCUGAAUUGGUUUCAUUUUAGCUUAACAAGGAGGUCAUUUGUUAGUUUAGAUUUUGGGCUUUAAAAGUGGUUCAUUUGUUUAUCUGUUCUAUUUGUCACUGGUUUGCUAAUUGGGUUCCUGAAUGAUGUUGGGCCAUAAGUUCAGUUCUGGCCUGCUCAUUUGGGAUUCGUCUCUUGGGUCGGCUUUGAUCCAUAACUAUUUGAGCAUGAGGUAAAAAUCAGGAAGUUCAAAGGGUAAUUUCAGGGCACUUUGGGGGUAGUUUAGGAAAUAGGACACAUGGAAACGUUUUGUUACUGAUUUGGAAGUUUCUAAUGAGGGGUUCCAUGUGAAUUUCAGAUUUUGUUAGAGUAUAACUUGAGUAGCAAGCCAAUAAGUGAGGGACUUUUAAUCUAAAAAAGGAAUUAAAAGGGGACUCAAAUGCAAACUUAAAAAUCUGAGAUGCCCUACUUUGUGGCAUAUAGAGAGAUCAUUCCUUGCCUUUGAAGAGAGAGAUUCUUGGUUUUAGAUAGCUAAAAAAAUUGAAAAAUGCCAGGCGGCUACAUCACCAAAUAUCGCUAUUUCAUUGCCUCUGCUUUGAUUUUUUCUCACAUCUGAAGCAUUUUUGGGUUUCACUUAAAGCUAAAGCAUGAUUUGAAUCUAGCUUUAAAUUCUAGGAUUUGUGUUGGGGUGGAAGUUACUGUUUCAUUGGUAUUUAAGUUGAUUUCACUAGUCAUUUGGUUGAAUCUGGGACUUUGCUUGCUGCUGUCAAAUUCUAUUUCGUUUGGUCUACUGCUGCUGUUGCUUGCUUACCAUAAUCACCUCUUUUCUUUCUAUAAUCUCUAGGUACACUCCUUCUAACUAUAUCGUCUGUGGAGUAAAAUUUGAGAAAUACAUUGAUUUGAAGAGUUGAAGCUAUGAUCAAUGUUAGUUUCUCUUUGUUUUUUUUUUUUUUUUUUUAUAUUUAUGCGAUUGAAUCUAAUCCAUGUUGUGCUUCAUUAUAGUAGUAUCUACACUUCUUUCGUUUUAUUAAGUGUGGAUUGGAAUUCGGGAAUGUAUAACUGCUUCAAAAACAUUUUGGAUCUUGUAAUAUGUGACUUUAGAUUGGUACUUUAAUUGCCCGACACUGUUUAGUUUUGCUGCCCCAAUUGUAGAUUUGGAUACAUGGGACACUGAAUAUAGGUCAUGAUGUUGCUCCCCAGUACAUGAUUUGGAACUUGUUUUAAAAAUCUUCUCUGUGGGAAUUCAAUGGAGCAUUCAGGAGAUAAGAAUAUUGUCAAAUGGAACCUGAUUAUGUUCAAUGUUUCGUUUCAAGUGAUGUUGCUUUCCUGGAAAAUAGUUCAUGAAGUCACUAAUUUGUAUUUUUAAGUUUGGUUUCGAGAUUGUCUUUAGAAAUAUUUUAGCAUGAUUCAUUCGAUGUUUGUUGAGUUUAGGUGUUACUAGAGGAUGUUAAUUAGGAAAUUAAACCUGGAUUAGCGAGUUAGAUUGUAUGUUCAUUUAGAAAUGUGCUAGACAAAUCAAGAGGCAUGUUGCUUGUUCUACUUUCAAGUCAUUAAAGGUUCCAGAAUUGAAUAUUGGUUUAGUCAAGUAGCUCACUAAUUAAGCUGAGUAGCAUCAAGCAGGUUGCAUCAUAUCAUUUUCGUAGAAACUUUGAAUUAUCUUGGAUCGUUUAAUUCCAUCAAGGAUUGGGCUCAUCGCUAGCCCAAGUCCGAAGGAGUUUUUUAGUCUCAUAAAGAAAAUCCCCCUUUUCCUUAGGCAGUCAAUUAGACCUUUUUCAGAUUCGGGACAUGCCAUUUAGCGAAUUUUCAUGGCUUCCCGCAAAGUUAAUAACACGUUAGUCGCUUCAGGCGCGUUCUUUAAUAAUUUAUCUUCCUAAUUGUGGGUGCGCAUUUAUUUGACUCAAAUCUAAAUCCC
rnacentral:lncRNA from 1 species